rnacentral:rRNA from 1 species
GUGUCAGCCGCCGCGGUAAUACGUAGGGGGCAAGCGUUAUCCGGAUUCAUUGGGCGUAAAGAGCGCGUAGGCGGCUUGUUAAGCGAGAUGUGAAAACCGGGGGCUUAACCCGCGGCCUGCAUCUCGAACUGGCAGGCUUGAGUCUGGUAGAGGAGUGUGGAAUUCCCAGUGUAGCGGUGAAAUGCGCAGAUAUUGGGAGGAACACCAGUGGCGAAGGCGGCACUCUGGGCCACGACUGACGCUGAGGCGCGAAAGCUAGGGGAGCAAACAGGAUUAGAAACCCCCGUAGUCC